rnacentral:lncRNA from 1 species
UGGUGGCGGCGCUCGGGGGCUGCCGGGACGGCGGCGGCCGGCGGCGAUGAUGUUGGAGAAUGGUCUCGGCCAGAGGGUGGAGUCCGAGGGUGUGGGUUCACCCUGGUAACAGCACAAGUGGGGGGGUUGAAGGGUGGUGAAGCAAGGAACAAUGGAGAGGUGGAGGAGCAGCCAGCUCCGGCGGCCGGCGGCGUGCUCUGGUGGCCGGAGCGCGCGCGGGGAGAGCAGGGGAACGUGAGGGAGGCGGUUAAGGAAGAGGAGGGGACCCAGGGUUAGGGUUUCAUGGUGACCUAACUCUAUGAUAUAUGUACAAUUACAGAAAAACCCACCUCAACCCUAUUUUUAUAAUUUAGUCCCUGCCAUUGCGCGUAACUUGCGCAUACGCACCACCACGCUCGAUCUCGCGCGAUUCGGUAUAUAAAAUAUUACGACUUUUGCGAAUUUCCCGAUUUUCCACUCUCGACCCCUUAGCGAACUUAUUGCAAUUCCAAAAGAUCCGUCCAUCGGAUUUCCGAUCGGAUCACGCCAACGCGUUCAGCACGUC